UACGAAGGGUGCAAGCGUUACUCGGAAUUACUGGGCGUAAAGCGUGCGUAGGUGGUUCGUUAAGUCUGAUGUGAAAGCCCUGGGCUCAACCUGGGAAUUGCAUUGGAAACUGGCGGGCUAGAGUACGGUAGAGGGUAGUGGAAUUCCUGGUGUAGCAGUGAAAUGCGUAGAGAUCAGGAGGAACAUCCGUGGCGAAGGCGACUACCUGGACCAGUACUGACACUGAGGCACGAAAGCGUGGGGAGCAAACAGG
rnacentral:rRNA from 2 species